rnacentral:rRNA from 1 species
UACAGAGGUCCCAAGCGUUGUUCGGAUUCAUUGGGCGUAAAGGGUGCGUAGGCGGCGCGGGAAGUCGGGUGUGAAAUCUCGGAGCUUAACUCCGAAACUGCAUUCGAUACUGCCGUGCUUGAGGACUGGAGAGGAGACUGGAAUUUACGGUGUAGCGGUGAAAUGCGUAGAUAUCUGGAGGAACACCGGUGGCGAAGGCGGCAUCCUGGACCGACAUUGACGCUGAGGAGCGAAAGCCAGGGGAGCAAACGGG